UUUGCCAUUAACUGAUGAUGUGGCAUCCACAUGAACAAUGACUGGGCGUCACGUGGAUAUUAAAAAAUAAUUUAAAAAAUUAAAAAAUUAUAUAAAAAAUUAAAAAAUUAUAAAUUUAGGCUUCUUCUGCCUCACCCCUUCUGACCCCUCCUUCAUUCUCUCCCCUGCACUUACCCUUCCCCCUCAUUUUUUGACUCCAC
rnacentral:lncRNA from 1 species